UGUGAACGUUACCAAACUGUUGCCUCGGCGGGAUCUCUGCCCCGGGUGCGUCGCAGCCCCGGACCAAGGCGCCCGCCGGAGGACCAACCAAAACUCUUUUGUAUACCCCCUCGCGGGUUUUUAUAUCUGAGCCAUCUCGGCGCCUCUCGUAGGCGUUUCGAAAAUGAAUCAAAACUUUCAACAACGGAUCUCUUGGUUCUGGCAUCGAUGAAGAACGCAGCGAAAUGCGAUAAGUAAUGUGAAUUGCAGAAUUCAGUGAAUCAUCGAAUCUUUGAACGCACAUUGCGCCCGCCAGUAUUCUGGCGGGCAUGCCUGUCCGAGCGUCAUUUCAACCCUCGAACCCCUCCGGGGGGUCGGCGUUGGGGAUCGGCCCUUUACGGGGCCGGCCCCGAAAUACAGUGGCGGUCUCGCCGCAGCCUCUCCUGCGCAGUAGUUUGCACACUCGCAUCGGGAGCGCGGCGCGUCCAUUGCCGUAAAACACCCAACUUUCUGAAAUGUUGACCUCGGAUCAGGUAGGAAUACCCGCUGAACUUAAGCAUAUCAAUAAGCCGGAGGAA
rnacentral:misc_RNA from 1 species